GACGAACGCUGGCGGCGUGCUUAACACAUGCAAGUCGAACGGAAAGGCCCUGCUUUUGUGGGGUGCUCGAGUGGCGAACGGGUGAGUAACACGUGAGUAACCUGCCCUUGACUUUGGGAUAACUUCAGGAAACUGGGGCUAAUACCGGAUAGGAGCUCCUGCUGCAUGGUGGGGGUUGGAAAGUUUCGGCGGUUGGGGAUGGACUCGCGGCUUAUCAGCUUGUUGGUGGGGUAGUGGCUUACCAAGGCUUUGACGGGUAGCCGGCCUGAGAGGGUGGCCGGCCACAUAGGGACUGAGAUACGGCCCAGACUCCUACGGGAGGCAGCAGUGGGGAAUAUUGCACAAUGGGCGGAAGCCUGAUGCAGCAACGCCGCGUGCGGGAUGACGGCCUUCGGGUUGUAAACCGCUUUCGCCUGUGACGAAGCGUGAGUGACGGUAAUGGGUAAAGAAGCACCGGCUAACUACGUGCCAGCAGCCGCGGUGAUACGUAGGGUGCGAGCGUUGUCCGGAUUUAUUGGGCGUAAAGGGCUCGUAGGUGGUCGAUCGCGUCGGAAGUGUAAUCUUGGGGCUUAACCCUGAGCGUGCUUUCGAUAGGGGUUGACUUGAGGAAGGUA
rnacentral:rRNA from 1 species